rnacentral:tRNA from 2 species
GUGCGCGUAGCCGCGUCGGUCAGUGGCCGCCGCCCAGGUAGGCGGCGAUCACCGCCGGGUCGUGCUUGAGCUGUUCGGCCGGCCCGUGCACC